CUAAUAGCUGACUCUAUGAUUAGGGUGUGAUCUUCUGCUGAGGUUUGUAGUUAUUCUGUCCAUCCUGUAUUAGGGCAUCACGAGCCAAGUGCAUUUCUCCAAGGACUUUCAAAUAUGUCAGAGAUCGUUCUGGAUUCUUGAAGCAGUUCCUUUUCCUCAUUUCCUCAUUUCCAGGGAAGAGUUGUAUGUGAGCUGCAUGGAGUUCUGACCAUAUGCGCUGAAGAUAACAAGUACUUCACAACCAGUUUGAAAGUUCU
ensembl:lncRNA